UACGAAGGAUCCAAGCGUUAUCCGGAUUUAUUGGGUUUAAAGGGCGCGUAGGCGGCCCGCUAAGUCGAACGUGAAAUCCCCGAGCUCAACUCGGGAACUGCGUCCGAUACUGGCGGGCUUGAAUCCGGGAGAGGGAUGCGGAAUUCCAGGUGUAGCGGUGAAAUGCGUAGAUAUCUGGAGGAACACCGGUGGCGAAGGCGGCAUCCUGGACCGGCAUUGACGCUGAGGCGCGAAAGCUAGGGGAGCAAACGGG
rnacentral:rRNA from 1 species